rnacentral:misc_RNA from 1 species
GAUGAAGAACGUAGUGAAAUGCGAUAAGUAGUGUGAAUUGCAGAAUUCAGUGAAUCAUCGAAUCUUUGAACGCACAUUGCGCCCCUUGGUAUUCCAUGGGGCAUGCCUGUUCGAGCGUCAUUUGUACCUUCAAGCUUUGCUUGGUGUUGGGUGUUUGUCUCGCCUUUGCGUGUAGACUCGCCUUAAAAUAAUUGGCAGCCGGCGUAUUGAUUUCGGAGCGCAGUACAUCUCGCGCUUUGCACUCAUAACGACAGCGUCCAAAAGUACAUUUUACACCCUUGACCUCGGAUCAGGUAGGGAUACCCGCUGAAAUUAAGCAUAUCAAUAAGCGGAGGA